GGAACAGAGUUAUAUUUCUGUGACUGAUGACACUGUUUGUUUCUUUCCUCUGUAAUUCAGGAUGUUCCAUCUGAUUGAAUUCUUGGACAGCAAAACAGUAGCAGUCGUGCCACAAAGCUGGUACAGUGGUGGUGGCUGCGUUUGGCCAGAUUACCCGAGGGAUGAAAGGGUGGACAAGGCGGUCCGAAGUGCCGAAGAACCUCAGCCUGACUGGCAGACACAUGAUGUCAGAAUAAUUAGAUCAUGCGAUGAUUACUUGGUGGCAAGGCGAUGGUUAACAAAAUAUAUGUCCUGUGACACAUCUGAUCUCCAUUCAGAACAGGAGGCAAUUCCUAAAAGGAGAAAGCCAAUGCCUGUCCAUUUCUUUGGGGACUCGGAUGCAGACAGCGAGACUGAAAAUCGCCACCCCAAAAAAAAAAGGGUCCAACCACUAGCAGGACAGUUGCC